rnacentral:tRNA from 1 species
CCCCCGAUGGUCUAGUUGGAUAUGGCGUUCGGCUGUAAUAACCGAAAGGUCGCCGGCUCGAUUCCGGCUCGGGGGA